rnacentral:rRNA from 1 species
GACGAACGCUGGCGGCGUGGAUUAGGCAUGCAAGUCGAACGGUAUCACCUUUCGGGGAUGAGAGAGUGGCGAACGGGUGAGUAACACGUAGGUGAUCUACCCUCAAGACGGGGACAACCCAGGGAAACUUGGGCUAAUACCGGGAUGUGAGCUAUCGUGAGAUAGUUUGAAAGGUGGCUUCGGCUGCCGCUUGAGGAUGAGCCUGCGUCCUAUUAGCUAGUUGGUGAGGUAACGGCUCACCGAGGCAGUGAUAGGUAGGCGGCCUUAACGGGUGGUCGCCCACACUGGGAUUGAGAUACGGCCCAGACUCCUACGGGAGGCAGCAGUCGAGAAUAGUCUACAAUGGUCGAAAGACUGAUAGUGCGACGCCGCGUGAACGAAGAAGCCCUUCGGGGUGUAAAGUUCUUUUAUAUGUGAGCAGUGACACCCAUAUUAAUAGUAUGGGUGUAGAGAUAUUAGCAUAUGAAUAAGCAACGGCUAACUCCGUG